rnacentral:rRNA from 1 species
CUACGGGACGCACCAGUGAGGAAUAUUGCACAAUGGGGGGAACCCUGAUGCAGCAACGCCGCGUGGAGGAUGACGCAUUUCGGUGUGUAAACUCCUUUUAUAUGUCAAGAAAAUGACGGUAGCAUAUGAAUAAGCACCGGCUAACUCCGUGCCAGCAGCCGCGGUAAUACGGAGGGUGCAAGCGUUACUCGGAAUCACUGGGCGUAAAGGACGCGUAGGCGGGUUGGAAAGUCAGGUGUGAAAUCCUACAGCUUAACUGUAGAACUGCACUUGAAACUUCUAAUCUAGAGUAUGGGAGGGGGAGAGGGAAUUAGUCGUGUAGGGGUAAAAUCCGUAGAUAUCACUAGGAAUACCUAAAGCGAAGGCGAUCUCCUGGAACAUUACUGACGCUAAGGCGUGAAAGCGUGGGGAGCAAACAGGAUUAGAUACCCGAGUAGUC